AACGAACGCUGGCGGCAGGCUUAACACAUGCGAGUCGAACGCAUCGCAAGAUGAGUGGCAGACGGGUGAGUAACGCGUGGGAACAUACCCUUUUCUACGGAAUAGCUCUGGGAAACUGGAAUUAAUACCGUAUACGCCCUACGGGGGAAAGAUUUAUCGGGGAAGGAUUGGCCCGCGUUGGAUUAGCUAGUUGGUGGGGUAAAGGCCUACCAAGGCGACGAUCCAUAGCUGGUCUGAGAGGAUGAUCAGCCACAUUGGGACUGAGACACGGCCCAAACUCCUACGGGAGGCAGCAGUGGGGAAUAUUGGACAAUGGGCGCAAGCCUGAUCCAGCCAUGCCGCGUGAGUGAUGAAGGCCUUAGGGUUGUAAAGCUCUUUCACCGUUGAAGAUAAUGACGGUAGUCGGAGAAGAAGCCCCGGCUGACUUCGUGCCAGCCGCCGCCGUAA
rnacentral:rRNA from 1 species